AUCAAUGGUGAUGAGUGGUACAGG
rnacentral:piRNA from 1 species